rnacentral:lncRNA from 1 species
AAGGGGAAGGAUCCUCAGCUUACAGGAAACAGAGACUAGCAAAAUUAGACGGCAGUGACAAAGGACUGGCAGAAAAUGCAGAAGUUCCAAACAGAGACCUAUUCUAUGGAAAAGGCCCAGAGCAAUUCUGCCUCACCAGGAGCUGGAGACAUGCAGUAACCUUGACCUUGGGGAUCUCAGAAG